AUGGAGAGGAAGCUGGGAGUUUUGCUGGGGAUUCUCUGUGUGCAGAUUUGCUGGGUCAGAGGAGUUGAGGUGGAGCAGAGUCCUUCAGCCCUGAGUCUCCAGGAGGGAAAAAGUUCUACUCUGUUAUGCAAUUUUUCCACAACCAUGACGAAUGUGCAGUGGUUCAGGCAGAAUUCCAGGGGCAGCCUCAUCAAUCUUUUCUACCUGAAUCCUGGAACAAAGGAGAAUGGGAGGUUAAAUUCAACAUUUGUCUCCAAGGAGCGCUACAGUACCCUGCAGAUCAGGGAUGCCCAGCUGGAGGACUCAGGCACCUACCUCUGUGCUGCUUAUGCACAGUGA